UACGAGGGGUCGAGCGUUGUUCGGAAUUACUGGGCGUAAAGCGCGCGCAGGCGGUUAUUCAAGUCAGUGGUGAAAGCCCGGAGCUCAACUCCGGAACUGCCAUUGAAAACUGUUAGUAUGAGUGAGAGAGGUGAGUGGAAUUCCCAGUGUAGAGGUGAAAUUCGUAGAUAUUGGGAAGAACACCGGUGGCGAAGGCGGCUCACUGGCUCAUUACUGACGCUCAGGCGCGAUAGCGUGGGGAUCAAACAGG
rnacentral:rRNA from 1 species